UCUCCUGUAGCUCAGUGCUAUAGAGCGUCCGUCCGGUGUGCGGAAGGUCAUGGAUUCAAUUACUUUUGGAAAAA